rnacentral:rRNA from 1 species
GACGAACGCUGGCGGCGUGCUUAACACAUGCAAGUCGAACGGUAAGGCCUUCGGGUACACGAGUGGCGAACGGGUGAGUAACACGUGGGUGAUCUGCCCCCUACUCUGGGAUAAGCCUGGGAAACUGGGUCUAAUACCGGAUAUGACCAACUUCUGCAUGGUUGUUGGUGGAAAGUUUUUUCGGUAGGGGAUGAGCCCGCGGCCUAUCAGCUUGUUGGUGGGGUAAUGGCCUACCAAGGCGACGACGGGUAGCCGGCCUGAGAGGGCGACCGGCCACACUGGGACUGAGACACGGCCCAGACUCCUACGGGAGGCAGCAGUGGGGAAUAUUGCACAAUGGGCGAAAGCCUGAUGCAGCGACGCCGCGUGGGGGAUGACGGCCUUCGGGUUGUAAACCCCUUUCAGUCGGGACGAAGCGCAAGUGACGGUACCGAUAGAAGAAGCACCGGCCAACUACGUGCCAGCCGCCGCCGUAAAAC